UACAGGGGGGGCAAGCGUUGUCCGGAAUCAUUGGGCGUAAAGCGCGUGUAGGCGGCUCGGUAAGUCCGCUCUGAAAGCCCGGGGCUCAACCCCGGGAGGCGGGUGGAUACUGCUGAGCUCGAGUCCGGAAGAGGAGUGUGGAAUUCCUGGUGUAGCGGUGAAAUGCGCAGAUAUCAGGAGGAACACCAAUGGCGAAGGCAGCACUCUGGGACGGUACUGACGCUGAGACGCGAAAGCGUGGGGAGCAAACAGGG
rnacentral:rRNA from 1 species